rnacentral:rRNA from 1 species
UACGGAGGAUGCAAGCGUUAUCCGGAUUUAUUGGGUUUAAAGGGUGCGCAGGUUGUUUGAUAAGUCAGUGGUGAAAGUCUGUCGCUUAACGGUAGGAUUGCCAUUGAUACUGUUGGACUUGAAUAUGGAUGAGGUAGGCGGAAUGUGCAGUGUAGCGGUGAAAUGCAUAGAUAUUACACAGAACACCGAUUGCGAAGGCAGCUUACUAAUCCAUCAUUGACGCUGAGGCACGAAAGCGUGGGGAUCAAA